CCAACAACAGAUGAGUCCAAGAAUAGAUGUCAUAGAAAUGAAUAAUUUUGAGUAUAUAUAUAUAUAUAUAUAUAUACUCAAAAUUAUUCAUUUCCAUGACAUCUAUUCUUGGACUCAUCUGUUGUUGG
rfam:Opisthorchis viverrini opera_v5_72.46, whole genome shotgun sequence.